rnacentral:rRNA from 1 species
GUGAGGAAUAUUGCGCAAUGGAGGCAACUCUGACGCAGCCAUGCCGCGUGCAGGAAGAAGGCGCUACGCGUUGUAAACUGCUUUUAACCGGGAAGAAACCCCAGGACGUGUCCUGGGUUGACGGUACCGGAGGAAUAAGCACCGGCUAACUUCGUGCCAGCAGCCGCGGUAAUACGAAGGGUGCAAGCGUUAUCCGGAUUCAUUGGGUUUAAAGGGUGCGUAGGCGGAGCGUUAAGUCAGUGGUGAAAUCCUGCAGCUUAACUGUAGACUUGCCAUUGAUACUGGCGCUCUUGAGUGCGCUUGAAGUGGGCGGAAUGUGCCGUGUAGCGGUGAAAUGCUUAGAUAUGGCACAGAACACCAAUUGCGAAGGCAGCUCACUAAGGCGAUACUGACGCUGAGGCACGAAAGCGUGGGGAUCGAACAGGAUUAGAAAACCUGGUAGUCC